rnacentral:ncRNA from 2 species
GGGUGCUCACAAUCUUUGUGCAGCAGGUUCAUGCGUCGGUCGGGCCGCCACG